UUGCCAGAUUUAAAUAGUGAUCGCUAUGAAAGGCAAGGGUUGCGCAUAUUGUCUUAAUUCCUUAAGGUAGUUCUGGGCUUUUUCUUCUCAGCAGAAUGGUAUUGGUAUGCCUCCAGCAAGAGUGAGAGUGAGAAAGGGGAGGGAGAGUGAGAAUGAGAAUACAACAGAAUAGCUGCAUACAACCCACGGGUUUCCUAAUAGGAGAGUUGGUAGACACAAUCAGAAAGUCUCAUUGGAAGGGGAGGAUCCGGUGGCAAAGGGCGCACGCAGUGCCAUGGUAUCUGGGCGGGUGCAGAUGAGUCCUUGUGCUGGAAGUCAAUUCACUAAAAAAUAAUGUAAAUUCCCGGUUUUGAAAGCUUAUUGCUAUGGAAUCUGCUGCCUUGUAAAUGGAGGAGCCGGAAAUAUCACAGAAAACGUGUGAAAGGACAAAGUCAAAGAAUACUACAUUUUAAAAUGGUGUCUUUGCUGUAAGGAGCAGAGCAUUUCCAAAAACUCUUGGGAGCAUCUAAGGUCUCAGGUGAGCAAUGCCGCUGUUAGUUUUCCUCUUUGCCCAUGAUCUCCUCCCAUCACGCUGGCGUAAAUCUGCUCUGCGGUAGAGUCGAAUUAAGAUGGAGAAGGUUUGCUGCUCUCUGAGAACGAGUGAGAUUUUACUCUCACCAUCCUGGGUUACUGAUUCUGUUAGACCACUGUGUGUUUGCCAUCACAGAUGGAGGCAUCUUGUCUUCUUUAAAGAGAGGCAUCUGACAAUAUUGAAAUGUACCACUUGGCUAGGAGCAAGGUAUGUAUUUUCUGUUUAACUUUAUUCUGUUUCAAAAGUUACUUAUGCUGUUCAAGGGGGAGGGGAGGGAAACUUCCACUUCUAAGAUAUUUACAGUAACACUUUUCAAGAAAAAUAUGAAUAUUUAGCUUGAUAAUAGAAUUUAUUAUUUAAACUCAAAACUAUUUUACUGCUACAAGCAUUCCCUAUUCAUGAUCUUGGAGAAGUUAAAACAGGACUACCAGAAAAGGGUACUGUGCAGCUAGCUGUUUCCUAACUGCUGCCCUCUGGUGGUAAAUGAGGAAAUUUUUUGUUGUUAAAAAGCUUAUAUAAAAACGUUGAUCUCAAUGAUUUGAAAAGUCAGUGGGUAAACAUGUUUCUAAUGGAAUUAAUAUUAAACUAGGAGAGAGCUUUCCCUAGCAUAAAGAAGACAAGGAUAGUGGUAAAUCAUGAUUUAAAAAGGAUUCCGGCAUGGUGGACGUUUGGCCCAGCAUUUGACACCCAGCUUCUAUGUCAGAAUGCGAGGAUUUGAGCUCUGGCUCUGGUUCCCUCCACUUUCUUGCCAAGUCAGACCCUAUGAAGGGUAGGGUGUGCAGCAGUAGUGGCUCAAGAUGUUGGAUUCCUUUCACCUAUGUAGGAGACCUGGAUUGUGUUAC
rnacentral:lncRNA from 1 species